CUUGGCAGGUAAAUACCAAUUUAAUUAACACUUAAAACCUGUAAAGAUGUGAAACCUUAAGUGUUAAUUAAAUCUCUGUUUACAUAGCAAG
rnacentral:miRNA from 14 species